rnacentral:rRNA from 1 species
UACGAAGGGGGCUAGCGUUGCUCGGAAUCACUGGGCUUAAAGGGCGCGUAGGCGGGUCGGCAAGUCCGGGGUGAAAGCCCCCAGCUCAACUGGGGAAGUGCCUUUGAUACUGACGAUCUCGAGGGAGGUAGGGGCGUGCGGAACUUCCGGUGGAGCGGUGAAAUGCGUAGAUAUCGGAAGGAACGCCGGUGGCGAAAGCGGCGCGCUGGACCUCUUCUGACGCUGAGGCGCGAAAGCCAGGGGAGCAAACGGG